AGAGGCUUUAGCAGACACUUGCCCCUCCCCGGCAGUUGAACACAGUCUGUGCUGGCUUCUUUAGUCAGUGAAUCAAGCUCAGGGUGAUAGGGUUGAAGCAACAGGAUGAGAGAUCUCAAACAUGCUACUGAAUGUUGUGCUCUGACAAAACUACAUGGCUUCCUUUAUCAAGGCAGCUGUGUUUUUAAAUAAAUAAUCUUAAUUUGGCCUGCAGAAGGAUUACGCCUGAUACCCAAAUGUACUGCCUUGAAAGGUCGCCUUGACUUCCUCAAGGAGUUUAAAUCAAGGCAUUCAGGAUACCAGAUCAGAAGGCCUCACAGACUGAGGAUUAUCAAAGCAUAUCCCACUUUCUUCAGUUGUUUUUGAGAAGCAUUCAAACAUUCUGUGGAUUUUGUCUUCUCUCUGAAGCCUGUAGGGUAGUUGGAAAGAGAUUAGCACCGAACACCGUAGUGUUCUUCAUUAGCUGGUAAGAGCCAUUACAUUUUCAGCACAAACCUUGGGAGAAUUGUUAAAUAUUUU
rnacentral:lncRNA from 1 species